CCUGCCUGGAAGGAGCUGGUGAGUGCGGGGCUUUUUUUUAAAAAAGAAGCAGGACGCUGGGCCAUAUGGGGCAGCCAUUUACAGGGAUGGGAGAACAGGCGGGGGUUGGGGCCUGUCCAAUUUGGAGAUUCGGCCUAUUUGGUGGCAGCUGAAUCUCUGAAUCAGAUUAAAGGGACCACAUCUGUGGGGCAGUCUUAGUAGAAGCACUGAGUCUGAUUUUUGUGUGUGGGUGUGGGUUUUUUUUUCUCUUCUUACUAAGAAGGGGAGGAUUCCCCACGGUGGGUUUUCUUUGUCCCGCUGCUGAGUAUAGAUGCAUAUUUUACUCUGGAUGACUGGAUCCCAGGCAUCAAGCCCAGGAAAAGAGGGGGACAAAAGAAAAGAAGAGAGAUAGGAUUUGUUCAGUUUAUCAGACUGGGCAAACAAGUCCAUGAUUUUAGUUUGGGACGGUUUAAAGACUGUUUCCCAUAUCAGAGGUAAUUAACCUGACGAAGAAAUGAUAACUGGCCCUGAGUUAGAGAAAAUGGCCAGGCUGACCACAUGCAUAUGUUCCAGAUUAUACCUGUUAGCAUGCUAACAACUGGUUGGUGUACAACUGGGGUGAAGGGGGAGGUUGGAGCCCCACCUGGAGGGUGCCUUGUGCCAUAACAAGAUUCACGAAGGCAACAUCACCUCGCAAAAGAAUAAUCCAUCAAGUCAUGUCAGGUGAGAAUUGGGUGGAAAUCAAUGUCUAAUUGGCUGGGCCAAGGCAUUCCUUACGUCUAUGUACAGGUGAAAGACAUUAGGAUGUUGCGGGCCAUACCCUUAUGCGGGGGCCCCCGACAGUCUUACAGAAUCAGGCAAAAACCCAUUAGUUUCCUUGUAUUUUAAAGAUGUGUUUAGCUAUCUUUGAAAAGUCUGCUGUCAAGCUUACAACCAAUGGCUGCUUGGAGAACUCCAUGAUUUCCCAAAUUUUCAAGCUCAAGUUUUAUUUUGCAUCAUUUCAAACUUGCCUCAUUAAUUUAUAAGUGCCAACCUCUUGGCUCUGAGCUAUCCACAAUACUCAUGUUAAAUUUGACUUGUACAUUUUCUAGAAUAGGAUUUGGCCCUAGGUUCCUUGAAUUGUUGUAUUUUGAAACAGAGAAGAGUAUUUUGCUUUUUUUAGGUUACAUUAAAUAGCUAAGGAAAUGGACUAACCUAAUUAAAGAACAAGAAUUUUGAGCAUUGGCAACAAUACUGAUGUAGAACGCUGGAGAGCAAGAUGGAUAAGUAGAAAAGUUUCUGUGGGAUUUAACUAGGGAUACAUAGGCUUCUCUGUCAUUUGAAGUCUUUAAAUGAAGAGUUGAUGUCUUUCUAAAACAUAGUCUGUGUAGUUCAUAUAAACAUGUAGGAGCCAGUCAUUGAUCCAGAAAUGACUGAGCAAGGUUCUGUGGCAGGCAUUCUCCAGAGUUUUAUUUAGAUAAGUGGUUCUCAAUCUUUUGAGACUCAAGGCAUCCCUUGCUGGACUCAAGGCACUCUUAGAAACUCUAAGUUUACAUUUUUUUUUUUUUUUUUACUACAGAAAAGGAGUAGUACAAUUCUUUUGUCACCAAGAACUCAGAAAGACCCCAGCAGGUUAGAAUGCUUUUGGCACUAUAGAUUCCUGUUCGCCAUUUCUGGGUUUAACUUGUGAAUCCUGUUUGCACACCUGCCACACCCUGAUUGAGAGCCACUGGUUUUGAUCAAAGGUGUCAAAUAAAUCAGGCUGGCCCCAUGGCAAGGUCCAGCCUUUGUGCUGCAAGCAGUGCAUGGGGCUGAAGCUGGCAUGUGGGAUUGGUCCAGCAACCCACAAGCCAGACUGUAUGGUUGCAUGGGCUGGAUCCAAGCUGCAGGCUGUCUGCUUGACACCCCUGCUGUAGGUGACUAUAAUGGUCCCCACUGGCUGUAAUUGACAUGUUUUCACUUUGAGGUAAUUAAUUUGGAAACCAAAAUCACCUAAUCCAAAAUUUUUCAUAUUUCAAAUGAGUUGGAUUAUCUGAGUUCUGUGUUAUUUUAGUAGUAUCAGAGCUUACUAGUAGGAUCCCUGAAAGUGACUAGUUUUUGCUCACAGAUACAAAGAUAGAGGCUGAAUGAGGUUACAUAUAGUAUAAUUUUGUCUAGAAUUGAGCCUUUGCUUAAUAUGAAUAUUUCUGUAUCUGCUUGGUUAUUUGCAUUUUUGGUGCAUUCAUUCUUCUCUAUCUAACAGUUGAUGUCAUAAAAUAAAAUAUGCAUCUAUACUCAAGCACUCUUUACUCAGCAAUUGAGAAAAGAGUACUGUCAAAUGAGCCAUGUCCAAAAGCCUAUGAUGAAUCAUGUGUGUGUUCAGACAGAUUUUAAUUUACCAGAAGUACCUCUCCACUUUAUUACAAUACAUAGAAAAGAUCUGGAAAGAAAAAAAAAAAAAGCCUUUUCUAUCCACUAGGUUGUUUUAGUCACUGGUUCUUUUACAAAAUCUACGUUCUGAGAAGGGGCAGAAAAUGAGCUCAUGAAAAGAUUUAGUAUUGUCUUGACCAAUUAAAUAUAACCUCUAAAAAUGGACUCCAAAGCCAGCUAAUUAGGUAGCUAAGCUCUGCAUCUCUUGAUCUGCAAUGAACUAGCAGACAAAGUCAUUACAUUUUAGUGAUAUGCAAAUAGCUUUCAAAACACUGGCGAAAUUCUCUCUCAAAAGAGAUUCUUUCAUUGUAUGUUUAUUUCUUAUCUCAUUAAAUUUUCCUGUGACAGAAUGAAAAAACAAAUGUCACUAGGUAGAGACUGGAAAGAAAAGCAACUUCUUAUUUUAGGGGACAAUGUGCCACAUGGAAUAACCAGCUUUGCAACAAUUUUUUUGUGGUCUUUGGUUAAAAUGUAUGCAUUCUGGAAAGGGCAAUUUUUCAAUUCCUCUCUAGGAUCAUGUGACACAAGAUGUUCUACUUAACUACUGCAUAUCCAUUUUGGUCAGAGUAGGAUAGUUUCCCUUGGGGGGAAAAAUUGGAUUACCAGCUAGUUGUCCAGUUCUAACUACAAUCCCAUGACUCUGCUUCUUUUCUUCUACUUCUGUUUAGAAUAUAUUUUAGUACAGUCAAUAUGAAUAAUUGCCUAGAUUAUAAUUUGAAGUUGUAAUAACAGCUGCUUUUUCAAUUGAUCCCUAGAUCAUUUAUCACUCACAAGGCCAUGGUAUAACAGAUGGCAUACUGUUACUACCUGUAGCUCUGAAUACAUUAAUUAAAAUGAUGUGCUGAACAACUUCAGUUAAGAAAUGUGUCAGCAAAAACCUAAAUGUAUAAAAAACAGAAAGAAAAUGGGGCUAGGAGCAGAGAGGAGGGAGCUGGGCACAUGUGCAUCCCCACACACACAUGUGCCCCCUUACCUGACCGGCAGAGGCAGCAGCAGCUGAUCCCCCUAAGGUAAGUGGGGCCGAGGGAGCCAGCGCAGCUGAGGCGGAUCCGGAGGGGAAGCCCCUCAGAUCCCUUUUAGCUGAGCCGGUAGGGAGCCACAUGCAAACAGGUGUGCUCUGAAAGGGCGUGCCAGUGUUUGCACUGGAAUUCGUGCUAGGCGGGUGCGCAGCAUGAGCCAGGAAGCAGCCUGCAGCAAGAGAGAGAGAAGGACUCACAGCUCCAUGGACACGGUAAGAACACAGGGAGAGGCUGCUAGGGACCUUGACCUGGUGGUAAGGAUGAGGAAGGUGCCUGCUAGGGACCCACCCCCCAGUGGUACCACCUACCCUGGGCUCCUCUGAGGCCUCCACCCAGAUGGAGCCCAUGGUGGUGCUGGUGGAUCCUCCCUCCCUCGUCUGUGGGGGCUGCCUGGUGGGGACCCGGAGGCUGCGGGUGGUAGAGGGGUCUGGAGGCUCUCUUGAUUGUCCCUCUCAUGCCCAACUUUGGGCCCUGGAGGAGCAGAUGAGGGAGCUCCAGGCUGAGGCGAGCAGGCUACAGGGGAUCAGGGUUGUGGAGGACAAAAUUGACACAUUUCCAUUCACUGCAGGAUCAGUCUUCCAACAAACGGACCUCCCGGGAGAGAUGCACAGCCGAGGAAUGGAAGCAGGUGACCACCAGAACCAGGGCUGCUUGGGCUAGCAUGGAGACGGCUCCCCAGGUACAACUGGGGAACAGAUUCAAGGCCUCGGCAGAGGAGAAGGUCAAAGGAGAUGCCCCCCGGGGGGUGGGGACGGUGACACUCUGCACACAGCACAGUCCCAACAGGGAUGGAAUACCAUGAGAAAGAAACACCGAGUCCUUGUCAUCAGAGACUCCAUCCUGAGGGGAAUGGAGGGUCCCAUCUGCCAAUCCAACCCCAUGGUGCACAAGGUCUGCUGUCUACCUGGGGCUCAGAUCCAGGAUGUUACAGGCAUGAUCCCGAAACUCAUUCGACCCUUGGACCAGCACCCCAUGGUCCUAAUCCAUGAGGGAACAAAUGACGUGGCAGGAAACAGUCCAGACCGCACCAUGAAGUACUACGAGGCCCUGGGAGCCAAGUUCAAGGAGACGGGGACACAGGUGGUAUUCUCCUCUAUUCUCCCAGUAAGUAGAUGUGGACAGCACCAUGAGGCCUGCAUCAGAGUGGUCAACCAGUGGCUUCAGAGUUGGUGCUACCAGGCAGGCCUUGGGUUCCUUGACAAUGACCCACAUUUUCAUACAGGGGGCAUGCUCAGCUGGGAUGGACUUCACCUCUCCCCUAAAGGCAAACGUGUCUUUUCUUCCAGGUUGGCUGAUCUCGUAUGGCGUGCUUUAAACUAGCUUUGCUGGGUGAUGGGGCCACAGGGGGAAAUGACAACACUUCCCAGCCAAGAGAGGCGACAACCACAAGAAGUACCCAGCAGGGACCAGGACAUCCCCCGCACUGGAAUCCCGGACUAACUCAGGAGGGGCACAGCCGAGCCCAGGGUCAGAAAGGACCUGGUCAGGGAACUACUGGGAUUUAUGCUGAUAUGUGCCAGGCCUGGGAUACAGAAGACUCUUUUUACAUGUGUGAGGGGGAAGCACAGAGAAACUGUGAAGAUAUAAUGAGGAGGAGGGAAAGCAGUGGAGGCAGGGAAGGAGCUGAGCUGAGGCUCCUGUAUGGAAGACUGCUCCAUACUUGACUUCAGAAGUUGUAAACACUGUCUGAAGAUGCUGGAAAGAAAGAUCCUUCCAUACCAGAAGAAAUGGGGGUUGAUACAGCUGCUGCCACUGUUCCAAAAAAACGGUAUUCCUUUCUUAAGAAGAUCCUGAAUGCUCUGUCCAGAGUGCACUCUCUUGUAUCAAGUUGCCUACUGCACCACAGGAAAUUUUGGAAAGUUGCACCAGAGAUUAUACCUACAUGUUAAGUUUUUUUUAGGAAAAAUAUAAAUAGAGUUAGGAAAAAAUGUGGUCUGGUGGAGGCUGCUAAUUGUACUUUGUGAUUGUUUGCAACUUCAUUCUCACGUAGUUAAACUCAACAAAGAGGGCAGACAGAGAAAGCAGACAGGAGGUCUACUCCACAGGGAGGAGGGAGGCUCCAUUUAGGAUGCAAUAUUCGAGAAUCAAGGUGCACUCCCAAGUAGUUGGCUGUGCCACAGGAGGGAUGUUGGAGAGAGAGGUCAGGAGCCAGCUCAACAGCACGUAGUGCCACAAAGGGCCAGAGAACUCCUUGAGAUAACUUGAAGGUGCCAACUAGCCAGGAUGGGGAGUUAAAGCCAGCAGAUAAUGCCAUUUGGAGAUGGCAGCAUUCUCCACUUGGUCACAGAGUAAUCAGAAGGCCCCUGGAAUCGCAGGUGCUGACACGUCAUUCUCAGCACCAGUAGAAGGAACAAUUUUCUGAAUCUUUAGCUACAGUGACUGGGGUUUAACCCAAGCUCUCUAAGCAGGAAAGCAACAUGGCACAGCUGCCUGAGGGGAGCAAACACCCAGGGCUGAGGACCAGUCUGUCCUAGCCUGGCAGCAGGGAGGGGUGAAGGGAAUAUAGGUGUCCCUCACCCCUGCUCCCCCUUUGGAGCUCAGGGCCACAAAUGAUUCUGACCCAUCUCUAAUUUGUGCUGCUUUUCCCUCAAGGGCUGGAAAUACGGGGGACGGGGUACUACCAAUGUCACUGCUGCCCAGCCCCAAAAUUCAAAGCUUUGGGGGAAGAGCCCCCAAGUUACGGCUGGCCCUCAAAUAAUGAAGAUUUCUUUAAUAUGGGCUGCCUAUACACAUGUUCACUGGCGAUCUAAUUAGAAUGCAUUGGAGCAGACGUGAUUAAUCGAGUCUGCUCCAAGUUCUCAUUAGAAAGCUGCAGCAUUGCCACAGUGUCACGUGUAUUAAUCCCCCCCCACAUUUUAAAAUGGGCGCAGGGCACUUGAACUAAACCUCAUUGAAUGGAGUUAGAUAAAGGGUCUUGCAGCUGUUUUUAAACAUGCGGGGGCUCAAUACAUGUUAUGGUGAGGCAUUUUAAUUGGAGUGGCACCCAGGAACUCCUCUAAUUAAAAUGCUCCCCGCCACCUCUAAGCAUGUGUACAGGCAGCCAUGAUUACUUUAAGCUCUUGCUUUUCGAACUCUCUCCCUCCAUAACUGGGGAUAGUUUCCAGGCUGCUGGCUGCCAUAUGGGCAGAACAGGAAACUCUGAUGCCUGCUCCCACCAGGAGCUUGCACUGCCUGCCUGAGGGCACAGCUUCUUCACAAUGAUGUCCUAGCGUAAACCACAGGCUGUGGGCUGCUGAGGCCUGUUUCAGUGAGCCCUGUUUCUGUUCUCCACUGUUCCUCCUGCACCUCUAGCUUCAGGACUGUUUCCCAUCCUUCCCCAGGCCAGGAAGGGGCUCCACUGAAACCCCCCAUACUCAUUCUCAGGCCUCUUAGCAAAGAUGGGCCUGCCUGACCUAGGACUUGCAGGAUAGGAGAAGAUGGGGGAGUGGUAGUGUCUGCACUGGCGUUCUCCAUCAUCCUUCCAUGUGAGGCAUGUUAGGUUACCAGAGCAAGGAGGGAGAGCUGCUGCCUCCUGGGGAGCCUAGGGUUACCAUACGUCUGGUUUUCCUGGACAUGUCCUCUUUUUUUGCCUCCUGUCCUUGUGUAUGGGCAGGUUUUUAAAACGUGAGCAAAUGUCCAGGUUUUUGCUUUGCUUCUGCUUUUUCUGGGCAGAAGCAACUUGGCUGCUUGGGGCUGGGAGCAGCGGGCAGGGUGAUUGGCUGUUGGGGGUCACGUGCUCUGCACAUAGGCCUGUCAAGAGUGUAUGUAUGUGUGCAUGUAUGCAUGCAGAAGCUGCAUGGGCAGCAGGGCUGGAGGGACAGGGGUUUCUGGGUUGGUAGUGAAGGGCACUGGGUUGUGGGUCAGGAGUGAGGGGCACUGGCAGGGCUAGGGAGGCAGGAACUUAGGAGUGAGAGGCAGAGGCAGAGCACAGGCAUAUCACUGCCCCCUCCCCCCGGCUCAAUCAUAUACCAUGUCCCCUCUCCACCACCUCUUUUUUGAUCCUGUAAAUAUGGUAACCCUAACUUUGCAGUUCUGCCCCACAGCAGCACUAUGCAAUGUGGAAUUGCAGCAAGGGUUUCCGGUCAUGUCAUCUCUCUGACCAGGGGAGGGAAGCAGUAACUCACAUUGACACCAUAACGGUGGUUGUGACAUGUUGCGAUGACACAAUGAGAGCACAGUUCAGCAUAGAUUUACAUGAAUUCCCAUUAGCUAAUCAGAGACUGAUAUAAAAAGAGACCAACUCAGUAACCCUUCUCAGUAUAUCAAAUAUUAACUUUUUUCAGGAAGCUAUUUUUGUAGCCAGCACCCCAGAAGAUUCUGUUUAACUCCAGUAGCUUUGCUCAGCUCUCACACUUUCUCCUGGACAGUUUCCCAAACCCAAAAGGAAAAGCACAAAAUUUAAGCAGUUGUUUGCAUACAUUUGGAAUGAUAUCUCAGCAUUUAGCACUUUUUACUCUAUUUUGGAAAUCUUCCUUGUUGAAUUUCUUUUUCAUUCUCAAAAUCUUAAGUUUUCCCACUUUCUUACUGCAACAUCAAAUCCUUGAGAUUAUUCCUAUGCCCCGUUUGGAACGCUCUGUAAUGAGAGCAAAAAUGAGGAAUCAGACAGGUUCUGCUUGUUUUCCUGACAUCUGGAAGAUGGCAUUAUUUGCCAGCUUCUCAGAUCACUGCAAACACCAAAACCACACUACUGUGCAGGAAAAUCGGACAUGUAAAUAAAAUGGAGGCAAUGACUUGAAGAACUGAAGAGGGAAAUUAUGCAAGACUGAGGCUCUUUUAACUCCAUACUUACGUUGGGUCAUGUAAUUCCAGGCAAUAGUGCCCUCCCAAACCUUCCUGUCUUUCACCUACUGACCACCUCAAUUUAUAUUGUAUCUGACUGGUAUUCUUGCAUACAUACUGGCCUCUGGCUGCUUUACUACUCCAUCCAGGAAGAGUGCAGACCAUCUGCAGAUGCUUCCUCAGCCUGACAAAGGGUGUUUGUGCCUGAAAGCUUGCUAAGAAGAAUUUUUCUAGCUAUUUGAGUUGGUCUAAUAAAAAAUAUGGGUUUUACCCAAAUAACCUUGUCUGCCUAUGUCCUUAGAUCAACACGGCUACAACCCACACUCCAAAACCUUCCACACUUUCACUUGGCCUGCCCCAAAGUGCCCAGCCAUUGCAGAUUCUCUCCAAGAGUAUUUAAACAUUUCCUGAACUACCCAUGGAAACCUCCUGUAAGUCAAGAACUUCCUCCCUCAGCUUUUGGCCAGGGGAAAGCACAGCUGGCAGCUACGUUUCAGAAUUCCAGCAUCCUAGACACUAGCAGAGUAAGCCAAACUGUCCACUGAAAAGAAAAUUUCUCUGUAGUUACAGGUAUUCCCACUGGAUACAGUGGUGCCACAGCAGGCAAAUAGUUUAUGCCAGAUCUGUCCAGAGCAGGCUGAGAUCAUUUUAUGUAUUAUCAUGCAAUUGUUCAGAACACAGUCUAACUUUCA